AGAGUUUGAUCCUGGCUCAGAUUGAACGCUGGCGGCAUGCCUUACACAUGCAAGUCGAACGGUAACGGGCUUCGGGUGCCGACGAGUGGCGAACGGGUGAGUAAUGUAUCGGAACGUACCUUUCAGUGGGGGAUAACGUAGCGAAAGUUACGCUAAUACCGCAUAUUCUGUGAGCAGGAAAGCAGGGGAUCGCAAGACCUUGCGCUGAUUGAGCGGCCGAUAUCAGAUUAGCUAGUUGGUGAGGUAAAGGCUCACCAAGGCGACGAUCUGUAGCGGGUCUGAGAGGAUGAUCCGCCACACUGGAACUGAGACACGGUCCAGACUCCUACGGGAGGCAGCAGUGGGGAAUUUUGGACAAUGGGGGCAACCCUGAUCCAGCCAUGCCGCGUGAGUGAAGAAGGCCUUCGGGUUGUAAAGCUCUUUCGGCCGGGAAGAAAUCGUAUGGGUUAAUACCCUGUGCGGAUGACGGUACCGGCAUAAGAAGCACCGGCUAACUACGUG
rnacentral:rRNA from 1 species